UGUUCUAUGGCCGAACUGGUAAAGGCAUUGCCGGUCACAGGCAAGGUUGUGGGUUCGAGUCCCACUGGAACGG
rfam:Operophtera brumata OBRT01_Sc12021, whole genome shotgun sequence.